rnacentral:sRNA from 1 species
CAGAUGACCAUCCUGUAUGACAUUUGGAACUCAGGCCUGGACUCAGAGGACAUGAGUUACCUGCGGCUCACGUACGAGCGGCUGCUGCAGCAGACGAGCGGGGCCGACUGGCUCAACGACACCCACUGGGUCCAUCACACAAAUAUCCUGAGUGUGGGUGGCCUUCCCUGGGCUUGGGUCCUCCCCCGACCCCUCCUGGCACCUGCAUCUGUCCCCCACUCUGUCUGCCUCCCCUCUGGCUCCAAGCCAUCUUUUCUCAUCACCUGGUGCCUCUUUUCUGCCUUCCAAAGCAUUUCUGGCAGCAACAAUGGGGCUGGGGCUUUCUCCCCUCUCCCUCACCUGGGUAUGCUCAGCAGUGUGGGCCCCGCCCUCUCCUUUGGCUGGGACGCAGGUGGCCAGAGAGGAGCCGUUCUCUUCCUUAACACCCUGCACUCACCAACCUGACCACCCCAAAACGCAAGCGGCGGCCCCAGGACGGGCCCCGGGAGCACCAGACAGGCUCAGCCCGCAGCGAAGGCUACUACCCCAUCAGCAAGAAGGAGAAGGACAAGUACCUGGACGUGUGCCCAGUCUCGGCCCGGCAGCUGGAGGGCGUGGACACUCAGGGGACGAACCGCGUGCUGUCCGAGCGCCGGUCCGAGCAGCGGCGGCUGCUGAGCGCCAUCGGUACCUCCGCCAUCAUGGACAGUGACCUGCUGAAACUCAACCAGCUCAAGGU